rnacentral:rRNA from 1 species
GAUUGAACGCUGGCGGCAUGCCUUACACAUGCAAGUCGAACGGUAGAGUAGCAAUACUCGAGAGUGGCGAACGGGUGAGUAAUAUAUCGGAACGUGCCCAGUCGUGGGGGAUAACGUAGAGAAAUUUACGCUAAUACCGCAUACGAUCUACGGAUGAAAGCGGGGGAUUCGCAAGAACCUCGCGCGAUUGGAGCGGCUGAUAUCAGAUUAGGUUGUUGGUGAGGUAAAAGCUCACCAAGCCGACGAUCCUUAGCUGGUCUGAGAGGAUGAUCAGCCACA